UACGGGGGGGCAAGCGUUGUUCGGAAUUACUGGGCGUAAAGGGCUCGUAGGUGGCCAACUAAGUCAGACGUGAAAUCCCUCGGCUUAACCGGGGAACUGCGUCUGAUACUGGAUGGCUUGAGAUUGGGAGAGGGACGCGGAAUUCCAGGUGUAGCGGUGAAAUGCGUAGAUAUCUGGAGGAACACCGGUGGCGAAGGCGGCG
rnacentral:rRNA from 1 species